GUGGGUAACCUGCCCAUCAGAAGGGGAUAACACUUGGAAACAGGUGCUAAUACCGUAUAACAAUCGAAACCGCAUGGUUUUGAUUUGAAAGGCGCUUUCGGGUGUCGCUGAUGGAUGGACCCGCGGUGCAUUAGCUAGUUGGUGAGGUAACGGCUCACCAAGGCGACGAUGCAUAGCCGACCUGAGAGGGUGAUCGGCCACAUUGGGACUGAGACACGGCCCAAACUCCUACGGGAGGCAGCAGUAGGGAAUCUUCGGCAAUGGACGAAAGUCUGACCGAGCAACGCCGCGUGAGUGAAGAAGGUUUUCGGAUCGUAAAACUCUGUUGUUAGAGAAGAACAAGGAUGAGAGUAACUGUUCAUCCCUUGACGGUAUCUAACCAGAAAGCCACGGCUAACUACGUGCCAGCAGCCGCGGUAAUACGUAGGUGGCAAGCGUUGUCCGGAUUUAUUGGGCGUAAAGCGAGCGCAGGCGGUUUCUUAAGUCUGAUGUGAAAGCCCCCGGCUCAACCGGGGAGGGUCAUUGGAAACUGGGAGACUUGAGUGCAGAAGAGGAGAGUGGAAUUCCAUGUGUAGCGGUGAAAUGCGUA
rnacentral:rRNA from 1 species